ensembl:snRNA U6 U6 spliceosomal RNA
GUGCUCGCUUCGGCAGCACAUAUACUAAAAUUCGAAUGAUACAGAGAAGAUUAGCAUGCCCCUGCGCA